rnacentral:rRNA from 1 species
GAGUUUGAUCGUGGCUCAGAUUGAACGCUGGCGGCAGGCCUAACACAUGCAAGUCGAGCGGAUGAAGGGAGCUUGCUCCUGGAUUCAGCGGCGGACGGGUGAGUAGUGCCUAGGAAUCUGCCUGGUAGUGGGGGAUAACGUCCGGAAACGGGCGCUAAUACCGCAUACGUCCUGAGGGGAGAAAGUGGGGGAUCUUCGGACCUCACGCUAUCAGAUGAGCCUAGGUCGGAUUAGCUAGUUGGUGGGUAAAGGCCUACCAAGGCGACGAUCCGUAACUGGUCUGAGAGGAUGAUCAGUCACACUGGAACUGAGACACGGUCCAGACUCCUACGGGAGGCAGCAGUGGGGAAUAUUGGACAAUGGGCGAAAGCCUGAUCCAGCCAUGCCGCGUGUGUGAAGAAGGUCUUCGGAUUGUAAAGCACUUUAAGUUGGGAGGAAGGGCGAGUAAGUUAAAUACCUUGCUGUUUGACGUUACCAACAGAAUAAG